rnacentral:lncRNA from 1 species
AGAUAAAACAAGAGAUGGGACUUUACCCACUAAAACCACAAAACCCUCAAGUCAACCAAUACCAAAUUGUUGAACCGACUGCUUUUUAACACCUCACUGCACAAAUCUGCUUCUCUGGGUAUAAAACAGUGCUUUAAAUAAAUUUUUAAGAUAAAAUUCUGCCUCUUGGAGACUUUGUUCUUACUGAGCAUAAAAAUGGCUUCUUACCCUGGCAAUCUAAGAGUGCCACCAGAGCUGCUGUGGCCAGAUCCUCACGUGGCAGCAACCACUCAAGCCUUUUCCUAAUAAAGGACACAAAAGUUUUAAAAGAAGUUAAUUUUGCUUUGAUUUCCCACUUCAGGUGCUCCACUCCUGCACAAAGCAUUUUUGUGCUGUGCACCUCGUACUGGCUCUCAGAAUUUGGAGUUAACUGACCCAAUAACUGACCAUUAACCAUUGAAAACCACCAAACCAUUUCUCUGGGACCAGCAUUCCCUCCUCCUGUGUGUUUAUUCUGUUUAUUCCACACCUCAGAAGAUGUUCUGCACGUUGAACAAGAAGCUGCAAAACAGAUCAGUCCAAACUCAUGUCAAACUGCUUUAUUACAUCUUAAAUAACAUUACAUUUUAAUAUAGUAUCUAUCUUGCAUCCAGCUUUCUUGAAGUACACUGACUUUAAAAUUAAAUACAAAAGGUGAAGAGGGAUACAGGGCGUGGAGAAAGCUCUACAGAGUAGUUUCAUGAAAGAGAGUAAGAGGGAACUCAUCUUUUAUGCCAAAUCCAGGCCUAACGCACAAUUACAGCACAUUUUUGUACAGAAUGUUGCAGAAAAAACAAAAUGGAGAAAAGCUACUACUGCUGCUAGGAAGGAGCAUUUCUGGAUACAGUGAGAAGAUAGGAAAGAACAAUCUGCUGUUUCUUUUUUUUCUUUAUUCUUUAAAAAAAAAAAAAAGUGACUUAUCACGCUACUCCAAAACGUGCAUAGCUUUGUACUGGAGUUCUUCAUAGAUUUAUGCACAGAGUAGCAACAAUAAAUGAAUACAGCGACAAUGGUUACA